AAAGGAGAAGGCUGUCCAGGGAGAGAUUUUCAUUCAUCAGCUUUCGAUGUAAGGUUAGGGUCCUUACAUGGCGUUUACGAAUGACGGAAAUUGGGUGAUUGACUCCGGAGAAGGAGCCUGAGAGAUAGCUACUACAUCUAAGGAAGGCAGCAGGCGCGCAAAUUUCCCAAUGCUCAAAGAGCGAGGAAGUGACACUGAUUAUUAAUGUUUUUGUCUAAGACUUAAACAAUUGGAAUGAGAACGAUUUAAAACUCCUAUCGAGGAUCUAUUAGAGGGCAAGUCUGGUGCCAGCAGCCGCGGUAAUUCCAGCUCUAAGAGGGUAUAUCAAAAUUGUUGCAGUUGAAACGCUCGUAGUCGAAUUUCGUUUCCGUUGAUUUGGAUUUUGUGCUUGGAGAAAUCCUUCACAUGCCAAAGGCGGGAAUUUUUGUGUAAUUUUUCAUUAAAUUACACUCAGUUACUGAGAGCAAAUUGGAUUGUUUAAAGAAGGCCUUAUAGCUUUGAACAUUUUAGCUUGGAAUGACAACUAAUAACUCGGGUUAUUUUGUUGGUUAAAUAACAAAGAGUGAUGAUUAAUAGAAACGGUUGCGGGGGUACUUGUAUUUGUCGGUCAGAGGUGAAAUUCUUGGAUUCGACAACGACAAACGACUGCGAAAGCAUUUACCAAGGAUGUUUUCAUUGAUCAAGAACGAAAGAAUGAGGAUCGAAGAUGAUUAGAUACCAUCGUAGUUCAUUCCAUAAUCGAUGCCGACUCGGGGUUUGCUUUUUAAUUCUUUUAUCGAAUGAAGCAAGUACCGUAUGAGAAAUCACAAGUCUUUGGGUUCCGGGGGGAGUACGAUCGCAAGAUUGAAACUUUAAGGAAUUGACGGAAGUUCACACCAGAGGUGGAGCCUGCGGUUUAAUUUGACCCAACACGGGAAAACUUACCAGGUCCAGAUAUGAGGAGGAUUGACAGUUUGAAAGCACUUUCUUGAUUUCAUAGUUGGUGGUGCAUGGCCGUUCUUAGUUGGUGGAGUGAUUUGUCUGGUUGAUUCCGAUAACGAACGAGACGAGCGUAUUUUGCUGGUUGCUUUGUUUCUCACGAAACUCACAACCUCCCAAAUAGACAACUCAUUUCUAAUGAGAGGAAGCCGCUCGCAAUAACAGGUCUGUGAUGCCCUUAGAUGUUCUGGGCCACACGCGCGCUACACUGAUUGGUUCAAUGAGUUAUUUUUUCCUUGCCCGGAAGGGUGUGGGUAAUCUUUUCAAUACCAAUCGUGAUGGGGCUUGAACAUUGUAAUUAUUGUUCAUCAACGAGGAAUCUCUAGUAAGUAGAAGUCAUUAGCUUCUGCUGAAUGCGUCCCUGGACUUUGUACACACCGCCCGUCGCACCUACCGAUGAACUUUAUCUUUAGGCGUUUGGAGGCUGUUUUUUCGCUCUCGGGCAAUUUACGGCUGAAAUUCUCCGAAAGUUGAAAUUUAGAGGAAGGUGAAGUCGUAACAAGGUU
rnacentral:rRNA from 1 species